rnacentral:rRNA from 2 species
GUCCUAUUGAUUAUAAUAUUAGGUCUGACCUGCCCACUGAUAUUUUGAAUGGCCGCGAUAUUUUGAUCGUGCUAAGGUAGCAUAAUAAUUAGUUUUUUAAUUGAAAGCUGGUAUGAAAGGUUGGAUAAGAAAAUAACUGUCUCUUAUUAAUUUUAUUAGAAUUUUAUUUUUAAGUUAAAAAGCUUAAAUAUAAUUAAAAGACGAGAAGACCCUAUAGAGUUUUAUAAAAUAUUAUGAUUGAUUAUUUUUAGUAUAUAUAAAAUUUAAUUAUAAAUUUUAUUUGGUUGGGAUGAUUAAAAAAUUUAAAAAACUUUUUUUUUAUAAAAACAUUAAUUUAUGAUUGUUUGAUCCAUACUUAGUGAUUAUAAGGUUAAAUUACCUUAGGGAUAACAGCGUAAUUUUUUUAUAGAGUUCAUAUCGAAAAAAAAGAUUGCGACCUCGAUGUUGGAUUAAAAUAAAUUUUUGGUGUAGAAGCUAAAACAUUAGGUCUGUUCGACCUUUAAAAUUUUACA